GGGGAUAUAGCUCAGUUUGGCAGAGCGCCUCAAUCGCACUGAGGAGGUCGGGAGUUCGAAUCUCCUUAUCUCCA
rnacentral:tRNA from 1 species